rnacentral:snoRNA from 1 species
CACUGCGCUUUUCAGGAGAAUCAUUUCUAUAGUAUUUGUCCUCUUUUGUGUUCCCUAAAAGGAGCCACAGAUCCCACCGGGGUUGAUGAUCAAUAUCCUCGGCGCCCAACAGUGAGGUCCUUUAUUUACUCUCGCUCUGCCUGCAAAGGUGGCGGUUGCCUCACGGCGACUGUAUAGAGAGUGGCGAUGAUCUGUACCCCGAUUUCCAGAGGUCUCUGCCUUCGGGCGCUUUGGCGGGGUGGGUGUCGAUGGAAGUCUGACCCGC